AUCACUGGUCUCUUACCAUAACUACAGAGAGAGGAAGGGACUGGUCUCUUACCAUAACCAUGAAAUGCUGAAUACAACAGGUGUAGUAGACCUUACAGUGAAAUGCUGAAUACAACAGGUGUAGUAGACCUCACAGUGAAAUGCUGAAUACAACAGGUGUAGUAGACCUCACAGUGAAAUGCUGAAUACAACAGGUGUAGUAGACCUCACAGUGAAAUGCUGAAUACAACAGGUGUAGUAGACCUUACAGUGAAAUGCUGAAUACAACAGGUGUAGUAGACCUCACAGUGAAAUGCUGAAUACAACAGGUGUAGUAGACCUCACAGUGAAAUGCUGAAUACAACAGGUGUAGUAGACCUCACAGUGAAAUGCUGAAUACAACAGGUGUAGUAGACCUUACAGUGAAAUGCUGAAUACAACAGGUGUAGUAGACCUUACAGUGAAAUGCUGAAUACAACAGGUGUAGUAGACCUCACAGUGAAAUGCUGAAUACAACAGGUGUAGUAGACCUUACAGUGAAAUGCUGAAUACAACAGGUGUAGUAGACCUUACAGUGAAAUGCUGAAUACAACAGGUGUAGUAGACCUCACAGUGAAAUGCUGAAUACAACAGGUGGAGUAGACCUCACAGUGAAAUGCUGAAUACAACAGGUGUAGUAGACCUUACAGUGAAAUGCUGAAUACAACAGGUGUAGUAGACCUCACAGUGAAAUGCUGAAUACAACAGGUGUAGUAGACCUUACAGUGAAAUGCUGAAUACAACAGGUGUAGUAGACCUUACAGUGAAAUGCUGAAUACAACAGGUGUAGUAGACCUUACAGUGAAAUGCUGAAUACAACAGGUGUAGUAGACCUUACAGUGAAAUGCUGAAUACAACAGGUGUAGUAGACCUUACAGUGAAAUGCUGAAUACAACAGGUGUAGUAGACCUUACAGUGAAAUGCUGAAUACAACAGGUGUAGUAGACCUCACAGUGAAAUGCUGAAUACAACAGGUGUAGUAGACCUCACAGUGAAAUGCUGAAUACAACAGGUGUAGUAGACCUUACAGUGAAAUGCUUACUUACAGGCCCUUUAACCAACAGUGCAGUUCAAGAAAUACAGUUCAGAAAAUAUUUAGAUAAUAGAUAAUAAACAGCAGCAGUGUGCAGGGUUAAAGGUUAGUUGAGGUAAUUUACACAUGUAAGUAGUGGUGAAGUAACUAUGCAUAGAUAAUAAACAGCAGCAGUGUGCAGGGUUAAAGGUCAGUUGAGGUAAUUUACACAUGUAAGUAGUGGUGAAGUAACUAUGCAUAGAUAAUAAACAGUGAGUAGCAGCAGUGUGCAGGGUUAAAGGUCAGUUGAGGUAAUUUACACAUGUAAGUAGUGGUGAAGUAACUAUGCAUAGAUAAUAAACAGUGAGUAGCAGCAGUGUGCAGGGUUAAAGGUUAGUUGAGGUAAUUUACACAUGUAAGUAGUGGUGAAGUAACUAUGCAUAGAUAAUAAACAGCAGCAGUGUACAAUGUAAAUUGUCAGGUGGCCAUUUGAUUCAUUGUUCAGCAGCCUUAUGGCU